CAGUGGUACAUUCCUCUUUAAAACCAAACUUUGAGAGAAUUGCUCUAAUCUUGGCCAAGAGGGCUUUUCACAAAAAGCCUGAGUGUAGUGAAUGACGCUUCAGUUUUUCGCGCUCUGCUUUGUCGAGCCGACAUGGCUCGUGUCCUAACUUAUUAACCCGGAAUUAACUGCACCUGUGGGGUUUCCUUGGUGACGGUCAAGUGAACCUAUUUUAAAAGGAAUAUUGUAGUCCAUCUUUCCUCUAUCGUCGUUAAAAGACGUCGCUUAUUUUAACGGCAAAGGAACAGUAGGCAUUCCCAGAGGAUGAAUCCAAAUUACUUUGGUGGCAUUUCCUUCUGCAACAAUAUGAGGUAACAAGGGCCAGCUACAGUGGAGAGGAGAUGAGAGCAGAGCAGAGGAGAGGAGCCAAUCAAUGAGCAGGGUUUGGCCCGUGGACUAAUGCUAAGUGGCUGGGAGGCUUUUUCUGACAUGAAGGGGAAACAUGGCAACCCGGGGGGCUGCAGGGAUGAUGCUUAUGUCAGCUGAAAGCUUUGCAUUGGUCGACGUAUUAAAAUGAAGCAAAGUGGAAUGUGAAGCAUGCAUGACCUUUUCAUGUCUGCUCUCCCAGUCAGUACUCAACGCAAAAAUGAAUAAAUGAAUAAACUCAUCCAUAAAAACACAAAUAUGAUGAAAAGUUGGUACUUUGGGAAGCAUUCCUGCUCAUUCUCUCACUCCACUGUCUUUAGAAGUGAAUUGUAUCACUUUCAGUAG